rnacentral:rRNA from 1 species
AACGAACGCUGGCGGCAGGCCUAACACAUGCAAGUCGAGCGCCCUUUCGGGGGAGCGGCGGACGGGUGAGUAACGCGUGGGAAUAUGCCCUUCUCUACGGAAUAGCCUCGGGAAACUGAGAGUAAUACCGUAUACGCCCUAUGGGGGAAAGAUUUAUCGGGGAAGGAUUAGCCCGCGUUGGAUUAGGUAGUUGGUGGGGUAAUGGCCUACCAAGCCGACGAUCCAUAGCUGGUUUGAGAGGAUGAUCAGCCACACUGGGACUGAGACACGGCCCAGACUCCUACGGGAGGCAGCAGUGGGGAAUCUUAGACAAUGGGGACAACCCUGAUCUAGCCAUGCCGCGUGAGUGAUGAAGGCCUUAGGGUUGUAAAGCUCUUUCAGCUGGGAAGAUAAUGACGGUACCAGCAGAAGAAGCCCCGGCUAACUCCGUG